rnacentral:sRNA from 1 species
CAUUCAGGAUGUCAUCUUGAAAGCAGAGACCAAGGUCUUCACCAGAGACAAUCUGCCAAUGGCUUGAUUUUGCAUUUCCCAGCCUAUAUAACUAUGUACUGGUUCAUGAAGAUGUUGUGCUUAUGGGUUUCUACUCUAAUGAGGUUUAUAUAACUUUCCAAGACAAGGAAGUUGUCCAAAGCCUCACAGCUACUAAGUGGCUGGGCUGGGACUCAGGAUUAACUUUUCGUGACUCCAAAGCCCGUGCACCUCUGCAAGCCACACGAAUCAAGCAGCUUCUCUAAACCUUUGAAGUCCUGGAAAGUAACUCUUCUGCAAUAGAAGCAAGAAUCCUGUGAGGUUCUGAUCCAUCUAGUACUCUUCACCAUUUGGAACAAUUGCCUCCAGAGAAUGCUUCUGAAGCAUCUUGGAAGAACUUGGAAUAAUUUGAGGAAAUGGUUGAUUCGCUAAUUUAGGAAACCAAUGUUCGAUAGUAAAAAAAGG